rnacentral:rRNA from 1 species
GCUCACUGGUCGAGUCGGCCUGCGCGGAAGAUGUAACGGGGCUAAACCAUGCACCGAAGCUGCGGCAGCGACACUCAGGUGUUGUUGGGUAGGGGAGCGUUCUGUAAGCCUGCGAAGGUGGCCUGUGAGGGUUGCUGGAGGUAUCAGAAGUGCGAAUGCUGACAUAAGUAACGAUAAAGCGGGUGAAAAGCCCGCUCGCCGGAAGACCAAGGGUUCCUGUCCAACGUUAAUCGGGGCAGGGUGAGUCGACCCCUAAGGCGAGGCCGAAAGGCGUAGUCGAUGGGAAACGGGUUAAUAUUCCCGUACUUGGUGUUACUGCGAAGGGGGGACGGAGAAGGCUAUGUUGGCCGGGCGACGGUUGUCCCGGUUUAAGCGUGUAGGUGUGUGUUCCAGGUAAAUCCGGUUCACUUUAACACUGAGGCGUGAUGACGAGGCACUACGGUGCUGAAGCAACAAAUGCCCUGCUUCCAGGAAAAGCCUCUAAGCAUCAGGUAACAUCAAAUCGUACCCCAAACCGACACAGGUGGUCAGGUAGAGAAUACCAAGGCGCUUGAGAGAACUCGGGUGAAGGAACUAGGCAAAAUGGUGCCGUAACUUCGGGAGAAGGCACGCUGACACGUAGGUGAAGUGAUUUACUCAUGGAGCUGAAGUCAGUCGAAGAUACCAGCUGGCUGCAACUGUUUAUUAAAAACACAGCACUGUGCAAACACGAAAGUGGACGUAUACGGUGUGACGCCUGCCCGGUGCCGGAAGGUUAAUUGAUGGGGUCAGCGCAAGCGAAGCUCCUGAUCGAAGCCCCGGUAAACGGCGGCCGUAACUAUAACGGUCCUAAGGUAGCGAAAUUCCUUGUCGGGUAAGUUCCGACCUGCACGAAUGGCGUAAUGAUGGCCAGGCUGUCUCCACCCGAGACUCAGUGAAAUUGAACUCGCUGUGAAGAUGCAGUGUACCCGCGGCAAGACGGAAAGACCCCGUGAACCUUUACUAUAGCUUGACACUGAACAUUGAGCCUUGAUGUGUAGGAUAGGUGGGAGGCUUUGAAGUGUGGACGCCAGUCUGCAUGGAGCCGGCCUUGAAAUACCACCCUUUAAUGUUUGAUGUUCUAACGUGGACCCGUGAUCCGGGUUGCGGACAGUGUCUGGUGGGUAGUUUGACUGGGGCGGUCUCCUCCUAAAGAGUAACGGAGGAGCACGAAGGUUGGCUAAUCCUGGUCGGACAUCAGGAGGUUAGUGCAAUGGCAUAAGCCAGCUUGACUGCGAGCGUGACGGCGCGAGCAGGUGCGAAAGCAGGUCAUAGUGAUCCGGUGGUUCUGAAUGGAAGGGCCAUCGCUCAACGGAUAAAAGGUACUCCGGGGAUAACAGGCUGAUACCGCCCAAGAGUUCAUAUCGACGGCGGUGUUUGGCACCUCGAUGUCGGCUCAUCACAUCCUGGGGCUGAAGUAGGUCCCAAGGGUAUGGCUGUUCGCCAUUUAAAGUGGUACGCGAGCUGGGUUUAGAACGUCGUGAGACAGUUCGGUCCCUAUCUGCCGUGGGCGCUGGAGAACUGAGGGGGGCUGCUCCUAGUACGAGAGGACCGGAGUGGACGCAUCACUGGUGUUCGGGUUGUCAUGCCAAUGGCACUGCCCGGUAGCUAAAUGCGGAAGAGAUAAGUGCUGAAAGCAUCUAAGCACGAAACUUGCCCCGAGAUGAGUUCUCCCUGAGACUUUAGGUCUCCUGAAGGAACGUUGAAGACGACGACGUUGAUAGGCCGGGUGUGUAAGCGCAGCGAUGCGUUGAGCUAACCGGUACUAAUGAACCGUGAGGCUUAACCUU